UGCUGGGAUUUGAACCCAGGACCUUCAGAAGAGCACUCAGUGGUCUUCCCCGCUGAGCCAUCUUGCCAGCCCAAGGUGUGCCUUUUAUGUGUCAGUAGCUGCUAGCAUGGGACUCUAGGCAGCUUUUUUCUUUAUCUUUUCUUUGAGUCUUAAAGGCAGACUGUACUACAGCCCUGUACUACAGGUCCUUGUGGAUGACAUGGUCUAGAUGUCUGGUGUUGCCAUGUAUCCGUAUUUACCUCUUUGGUCUUGUUGUAGUGGGGGAAUGCUGCUUGCCUCUGUCCCGCUCCUUACAGUCAUUUUUUUCCCUUAAGUCUCACACGAUGGAAAGAGAGCAGACCUGCAAGCUGUCCUCUGACUUCACCACACACUCUAAGUAUAAUUAAGAAAGUACUGGCAUAUUGUUUGUAAUUGUAAAGUUAAUUUGUGUUCUUGAAAGUCAUAUUUAAGGAAAACUAGGGAAAUAUAUAACCUAUUUGCCUACUAUUUCAGGUAAAUGAUUUGAGGUUUUUUUUUGUUUUUGUUUUUGUCUUUUAAGGUAGGGUUUCUCAGUGUAGCCCUGGAUUUCCUGGAAACCCACUCUGAAAACCAGGUUGGCCUUGAACUCAGAUCCUCCUGCCUCAGUCUCAGUGUUGAGAUUAAAGGUAUGCUGCCCACCCCCAGGCUGGCUUUAGUUUUUCUGAGAUGUGACACUUUCACUCAGUGGCUUCAGAGUCCCAACUACAAGCCUUAUGCUCUAAGAUGCUAUUUUUUUAAAGGUUACUCUGCUUCUUAAAUUAGUUUCUGGCUCUUGUACUUGGAUCUAGUUUCAUAGUUUGUCUAGUUUAAUACACUAGAAUGACUUUCUUUUUUACUAUUAUAUUAUCUCUUCUGUGUGUACAUGUGUGGUGGUCAACGGACCACCUAUUGGAGCGAGUGAUCGCCUUUGACCGUGUGUGUCCUGGGGAUGAGACUCGGGUCAUCAGGCUUAGUGGUAAGCUCCUUUACCUGCCAAGCCAUCUUACAGCCCCAGGACGAUAGGCGUUCUUUUUCCUUUAGACUUCUUAUUUAUUUUAUGUAUGGAAAUAUGCUGUCUCUCUUCAGAUACACCAGAAGAAGGCAUUGGAACCCAAAACAGUUGUGGGCUACCAUGUGGUUGUUGGGAAUUGAACUUAGGACCUCUGGAAGAGCAGUCAGUUCUCCAACUCCCAGAAUGAUAUUUUUUUCUCAUAUCAAGAAAAAAGACUUUUAAGUUUUAAAAAUUUAUAGAGCUUUAAGGAUUACUUAGUAAUCUCCCAGCGGCUCGUGCUGUAGCUCAUUGAUAGGCUUGACGUGUUGGCUGUCCAAGACUGGCUCAGUCCACAGUACUCUAAAACCGCGUGCCUAUAAAUGUCUUUAGAACUAUACUAGCAAAAUAAUUGUAGGCUUCAGGUAUCUAAGAAGUAGCCUCCCCCCCACCCCUCGAAAUGGGCUUUUUUUUUUCUCCUAAACUGGGUUAGAAAGAAAAUUAUGUGUUUGUAGAAUGAUACUAAAAAUAUUUUUGUACCAAUUACUUAGUAGCAGUUAAUUUAGCAUGUACAAAGUGUUACUAUAAGGCUAAAUUUAAUAGCAUAUGAGUUCUAUGUGGUUGAGUUUAUUUGAACUCCGUUUAAGUGACUAUGUGAGUUGGAAAGAUAGCGUUUAGGGAUGGAGAGCCAGCUAUACUCCCUAGUUCAAGGCUGCCUUCUGCAGUACCGUUGUUUGCAAGCCCUCUAACCCUUGUCCUAGUUUGCUUUCUAUUGAUAUAGUGAUAAAAACCGUGACCAAAAGCAAGUUGGGGGAGGAGAGGGAUUAUUUAUUCUUAACACUUCAAGGUAACAACAGUUCAUCUCUGAGGGAGUCAGGGCAGGAGCUGAAGCAGAAGCCGUGGAGGAAUGCUGCUUACAGGUGGUUUCCCUGGUCUGCUCAGCUUGCUUUCCUAUACAACCAGGACCACGCGCCCAGGGGGAUAGCUCUCACAGUGAGUGCACAUGCGGGGGUGAAGAAAAGCCAAACAUGCAGGUGAGGAAGGAUAAACAAUGCAGUGGACACAAACACAUAUCUAAUUGUUUUCCUUGCUUUAAUUCUGUCACAGAUUGUUUUGGGUUUGGUGGUAGCUAAAUGAGAAAAAUAUGUUCAAUACUGAAAUCAGCGUGGUAGAGUCAGUAUAAAAUUUAGUAUGAAGCUUUAUAGCUUCCAUUUGGAUGCCAAUUCUAACCAUAUAUAAGCUUAGUAAGUUAUAUAGACUUUGAGUUUGGCUAAUUUUGGUACAUGAUGUUUUUGUUUCUUUACUGUUUUUUGAGAAGAGUUUAUAAAAGUCAUUAAUCAAGAAAGUGCCUCAUAGUCAGACCCACAGGCCAUUCUGCUGGAGAGAGCGCCUUGAUUCUAUGGUUCCCUGUUCGUAGAUAUGUCUGUAUUUGUGUCAGGUUGACAAAACCUAGCUAGCACACCCUCAAUUCAAUGCCUGUUUCCUCAUGUGUAAAAUGGGCACGUGUAAGCUGGGGCAUGGCUUCCAGCGGUUGUCCCAUUAGUAUAUAAAAACUCUGAGCAGUGGACGCAUGGGAAGAGUCGAUUUUAGUGACUUCUGUGUCCCUGUGGCUGAAAUACCUCAUCUUACAGGAAUAGUUCUUUGUCUUGGGACUGGAGAGGAUUCAGUUAGUGUUCACUGGUGUCCCAUGCUUUUUUUGGUCAGAACAUUAAACUGGCAAGACUGUGGCUUAGCAUACUUGUAACUUAAAAAAAAUCACAUGUAUGUACAAAUUGUUUGUGUGCAUAUACUUGUGUGUGAGAGUUGCUUGUUUUCUUCCACCAUAUGGGCCCAUCAAACUUAAUUUGUCAGGGUUGGCAAUAAGUGCCUUUAUCUACUAAGCCAUCUUGCGCCCGCCCUGUUACUAACUUCUUGGCAUUGGAAUCAGAGAGAGGAAACAGAAAGGGAUCAGGAUAAGGUAUAUUUCCCAAGGCCUUGCUGUAUGACCUUUCUCCAACCAGGCCCUUCCUCCUACUUUUGACCUACUUUUCAUAAUCCCGUCAUAGUAUAAUCCAUCAAGAGCUUCAUUUUAGUGUGGGGAUUCAUGCCUGAAAUCCAGCAUUCAGGAGUCUGAGGAAGGAGUUACAGGCCAGCCUCAGCAAUGUUGGUCUAGGUCAGCUUGGAUUACAGAGUGAAACCCUGUCUUAAAAACUCCAAACUAAAGAAAACCUAAACGUUGCCGUCAUACGUAUGCAUAUCCUAACUAAACGUUGCCAUCAUACGUACGCAUAUCCUAAAGAGAUAUGCUUUACUGAUCUUCUAGGUAUUUCUGUCUAUCAAGCUGACAAGACUCACCAUGAGUUUUUAGCUAUUACACUACUGUAAUCUGAUCACCUUUGAAAGUGGGGACUUUCCUUUCACUGAUAACACUCUAACUGUGCAGAAGGUGUUUGCUACACACUGGAUGCUUAGCUAUGUCUUCCAGUAAAUCAAUAGUAUCCAAAAUAGAAAAUUAAGCAAAAAGUGUAUUUAUGAACGCAUUUUAAAGCUCAAAAUAUAAUGUUAAGGGUAGGUUUUAUGCCUGGUGCCAUGGCACACACCUUAAUCCCAGUGCUCUGAGGCAGAGGCAGGCAGAGUUCUUUUAGUUCUGUGAGUCUACAUAAUGAGUUCUAGGCCAGCCAGAACCAUGAGAUGAGACCAUGUCUCAAAAAGAAUUGGGCGGGGGCAAAACCAAAUGGGAGUUUGGAGCCAGCAUGUUUGGGGUUGAAUAUUGCAGUGGCUAGAACUCAUCUGUGGACAUAUCUCUUGGCUACUUUCCUUCCUCUUGGAAGUGAGAUGAUCUUUAAGCUGCUUUACAGAGUUGAGAAUUAAGUAAGUGCUUGCUUAGCACUGUGCUAGUGCUAGAACGUAGUCAUUGAACAGUCAUUUCUUAAGGCCCCUUGUGUGGUAGGUAGAUUCAAUUCCUGUCCAAAUUUCACUUGAUUGUACCUUCAGGAUUAGUAGCUUUGUUUAAGAAGUAAGCUUUUUUGCUUAGUUCUUGGAAAUUUUUGAGUGUUUUGGAUUUCAUCACUGAGACAGACUGACAAAGGUGUUCAGCCCUAGAUUUACUAAUAAUCCCCCACAUCCUCGAGGCUUGGGAGUGCGAACUCAGGACCUUGUGUUAGGCAAAUACUCUUCCAUUAGACUAAAUUCUCAUCCUCAUUUUUUUUCUUUCUUUCCUUUUCUUUUCAAGAUUUAUUUAUUUAUUUUAUGUAUAUGCGCACACUGUAGCUGUACAGGUUGUUGUGGGCUUUUAUGUGGUUGUUGGGAAUUGAAUUUUUUUAGGACCUCUGCUCGUUCCAGUCAACCCUGCUGCUCGCUCAGUCCCUGCUCGCUCUGGCCCAAAGAUUUAAUUAUUAUUAUACAUAAGUACACUGUAGCUGACUUCAAACUCGCCAGAGGAGGGCGUCAGAUCUCAUUACUGUGGCUGUGAACCACCAUGUGGUUGCUGGGAUUUGAACUCUGGACCUUUGGAAGAGCAGUCAGUGCUUUUACCCAGUGAGCCAUCUCGCCAGCUCCUCAUUUUCUUUCUUAACUAGAAUGGAUGUAAGAAUAGUACAUUUAAGCUGGCUUGGCAGUGCAGACUGAUGAUACUAGCUCCUCAAGAAGUUGAGGCAGGAGGAUUGCAAGAUUUUAAAAUUACUGUGUACACAAAUAGAAAGCAACAUUAUAGACUUACUUGAAGGUCCCAUCUAAGCAUACCCUUGACCAGAACGCUGGCUUUCUGGAAGGAGGCAUUCCGGUUAAGGGCCAGGUCUGUCUUUCCUAUGGCCUUAGUCUCCUUACCAUCUUGUGGCAUAAAGCUGGAAACCACAUCUCUGUUUCCUUGAAAGACACAGAGGUUUCCUGGCCAGCGUUGGUUUAAUUCUGUGUUCUGAGCCUAAGAGUUCUAAUCUGAGGUACAAGAUUCCAGGUCUUCACGUCAUUCUUGAGUUUCCAUAAACAUCAGAACGGAACAGUAGUAAGGAUCUACCUGUGUAAUUCAGCCUUGCAUUUAUGAUUCUACUGCCUCAGCUUCCUGAGUCAAGAUGGGAUUACAGGUGUAUGAUAUCAAGCCCAGCAACACUUAUUUUCUGAAUUUUAAAUGUUAUCUUCUUAGUAGUUGUCUUAAUGUUUGUACACUAAAUGUUUAUUUAGUUUUAAAUUUGUGUUUUCCCAAUGACUAGUGAUGUAAAACAUCUUUUCAUGGGCUUAUGUGUACGUAGCACAUCAGGACCACAUAUCAUUUUGAUAGCUCUAGGCUUUGUUGUUUUUGAGCUAAGGGAUCCUUAGGUAGCUCUGGCUGUUUUCUGAUCAGGCUGGCCCAGAACUCAAAGAGAUCCGCCUGCCUCUGCCUCUCAAGUGCUGGGAUUAAAGGCAUAUGCCACCAUGGCCCAGCUAGCACUAGAUUUUUUUUUUUUUUAAUGUGUAAUUUAUAUUGACUGAAUGUAGUGUGUGAUGACUGUAAUUCCCGCUUUUGGGAGGCAGAGGCAGGACGAUUUGCAUAAGUUCAGGGUCAGUUGGGGCUACUUAGUGAGACUGUUUCAAGCUAACAUCUCUUAAGUGAAAAUUCCGGGAAUAAUGUUGAAAGUAAUAUUCGAUUUCAGUUACUUAACAUUUUUCCUGCCUGGAACAAACAAAACACUACUGAACAGGCAGGCAAACAAACAAAACAAAAUAAAAAACUUUCUGAGUUCUUCACAGGAAAUUAAUUUGUAAAAUUGGAGUCAGUAUUACUGAGAACUUAAAACUAUAGAAUGCUUGUGUGGAUAAUGUAAGGUCACACACAGUACACAAUAAGCCAGUGUUGGGGCCUCAGAGGAACAAAAGUAUCUUAUUUGUUUGAGUGAUCUCUGAGAGCAGUCCUGUUGGUUUAACCAGCACACCAUGUUGGCCAGUUGAGAAGUCAUCCACUUCAACUUUACAGUUGGUAAAGUGUCGAGGAUAUAAACACAUAAACGUAGCAUUGACUAUGGUUCAGUAAGUAUAUCACAAUAGAACCAGAGGAAUGUGAGCUCUCCUGAGUAAUAUGACACUGUAAAGGAUUAAAAUAAUAACCGAGUGGGUAAAUCAGCUGCUUUGUGGAGUGACUUAGUAACCAUUAAAUACUGAAUACUGACAAAGGAUAGCAAGCAAUAAUUCUGACUGUGUUAACAAAGUUAUUAAUUUGUAAAGUUUAUUUGGAAUGUGGGAGGUGAAUCAAGACAAUUUGAAACCAUUCUAAGUUUUUAAUCUUUGAUAUAUUAUAAUAUUAUAACACAAACCUACUGUUUAUUCAGAAAUACACAGUAAUGGGGGAAAAUGAGGACUCAGCUGUAUAGUUUUCUCUGUAUGAUGUUUAGCACACCUCUUUUAAUUAGAAAUGGGUAGAUUUAAAAGUAGUGUGAUAUAAUGGCUAUUGGUUGUCCAGUUGGAAAUAGAAACUUUCUGAAAGUUCAUAAUCAAAUUCCAAAGAGAGGAGUAUUAUUUUAAGUAUUACAUUUAUUUAUGUGUUGAGUGUUGGCAUGCAUGUGUAUGCAUACCAUGGCAUGCAUGUGUGUGUGUUCAGAUGACUCACAGAGCCUGGCUUUCUCCCCUCCAUGUGGGCCCAGUGACUGACCUUUAGUCAGCACGCUUAUGGUAAGCACUAUACCACUGAGAAGUCUUCCAGUCCCUGGAUGAGCAUUUUGAAUGUAAAAUAGUAAUAAAACACUAUCGUAAAACAUCUAAUUGUAGUCUUAGCACAGAUAGUAAAGUUAAGCCAAAAA